rnacentral:rRNA from 1 species
UUUCGCAAUGCCCGAAAGGGUGACGAAGCGACGCCGCGUGUGGGAAGAAGGCCUUCGGGUUGUAAACCACUGUCGGGAGUUAGGAAAUGCAGGUGCGUUAAUAGCGCACUUGCUUGACUAAGGCUCCAGAGGAAGCCACGGCUAACUCUGUGCCAGCAGCCGCGGUAAUACAGAGGCGGCAAGCGUUGUUCGGAAUUAUUGGGCGUAAAGAGCACGUAGGCGGCCUUGCAAGUCAGUUGUGAAAGCCUUCCGCUUAACGGAAGAACGGCAUCUGAUACUACAGGGCUUGAGUACGGGAGGAGAGAGUGGAACUUCUGGUGGAGCGGUGAAAUGCGUAGAUAUCAGAAGGAACGCCGGCGGCGAAAGCGACUCUCUGGUCCGAAACUGACGCUGAGUGUGCGAAAGCUAGGGGAGCAAACGGGAUUAGAUACCCCGGUAGUCCUAGCCGUAAACGAUGGGCACUAAGUAGAGGGGUUUU